CCGCACACCUCUACAUAUACUUAUUUCCGCUCGCACAAUCUUCAUCCCCAAUCGGAACCGAACAAGAUCCGGACGCAGAUGCAGAGAUUCUACCUUCAAAUUCCUUGUUUUCGCAAACCGCACACACCCGUGAAGAAGACAACUAAUUUUGGUAACAACGCAACACCAUCUCUCUGUCCGCCUCUCUACUGUUCCGAGUCCAUCUCUUUGUUUUCAUUUUCAAUUUUUGAAAUAAGGAUUGUAAAUCUGUUCUUGUUGGUGUGUUUGAGAAAUAGAAAGGAGAAAUGA